UUAAGCGACUAAGCGUACACGGUGGAUGCCCUGGCAGUCAGAGGCGAUGAAGGACGUGCUAAUCUGCGAAAAGCGUCGGUAAGGUGAUAUGAACCGUUAUAACCGGCGAUGUCCGAAUGGGGAAACCCAGUGUGAUUCGUCACACUAUCGUUAACUGAAUACAUAGGUUAACGAGGCGAACCGGGGGAACUGAAACAUCUAAGUACCCCGAGGAAAAGAAAUCAACCGAGAUUCCCCCAGUAGCGGCGAGCGAACGGGGAGCAGCCCAGAGUCUGAAUCAGCUUGUGUGUUAGUGGAACGGUCUGGAAAGUCCGACGGUACAGGGUGAUAGUCCCGUACACCAAAAUGCACAGGYUGUGAACUCGAAGAGUAGGGCGGGACACGUGGUAUCCUGUCUGAAUAUGGGGGGACCAUCCUCCAAGGCUAAAUACUCCUGACUGACCGAUAGUGAACCAGUACCGUGAGGGAAAGGCGAAAAGAACCCCGGCGAGGGGAGUGAAAAAGAACCUGAAACCGUGUACGUACAAGCAGUGGGAGCACCUUCGGGUGUGACUGCGUACCUUUUGUAUAAUGGGUCAGCGACUUAUAUUCUGUAGCAAGGUUAACCGUAUAGGGGAGCCGCAGGGAAACCGAGUCUUAACUGGGCGUUAAGUUGCAGGGUAUAGACCCGAAACCCGGUGAUCUAGCCAUGGGCAGGUUGAAGGUUGGGUAACACUAACUGGAGGACCGAACCGACUAAUGUUGAAAAAUUAGCGGAUGACUUGUGGCUGGGGGUGAAAGGCCAAUCAAACCGGGAGAUAGCUGGUUCUCCCCGAAAGCUAUUUAGGUAGCGCCUCGUGAAYUCAUCUUCGGGGGUAGAGCACUGUUUCGGCUAGGGGGUCAUCCCGACUUACCAACCCGAUGCAAACUACGAAUACCGAAGAAUGUUAUCACGGGAGACACACGGCGGGUGCUAACGUCCGUCGUGAAGAGGGAAACAACCCAGACCGCCAGCUAAGGUCCCAAAGUCAUGGUUAAGUGGGAAACGAUGUGGGAAGGCACAGACAGCCAGGAUGUUGGCUUAGAAGCAGCCAUCAUUUAAAGAAAGCGUAAUAGCUCACUGGUCGAGUCGGCCUGCGCGGAAGAUGUAACGGGGCUAAACCAUGCACCGAAGCUGCGGCAGCGACACUAUGYGUUGUUGGGUAGGGGAGCGUUCUGUAAGCCUGCGAAGGUGGCCUGUGAGGGCUGCUGGAGGUAUCAGAAGUGCGAAUGCUGACAUAAGUAACGAUAAAGCGGGUGAAAAGCCCGCUCGCCGGAAGACCAAGGGUUCCUGUCCAACGUUAAUCGGGGCAGGGUGAGUCGACCCCUAAGGCGAGGCCGAAAGGCGUAGUCGAUGGGAAACAGGUUAAUAUUCCUGUACUUGGUGUUACUGCGAAGGGGGGACGGAGAAGGCUAUGUUAGCCGGGCGACGGUUGUCCCGGUUUAAGCAUGUAGGCGGAGGUUCCAGGUAAAUCCGGUACCUUUUAACGCUGAGGUGUGAUGACGAGGCACUACGGUGCUGAAGUAACAAAUGCCCUGCUUCCAGGAAAAGCCUCUAAGCAUCAGGUAACAUYAAAUCGUACCCCAAACCGACACAGGUGGUCAGGUAGAGAAUACCAAGGCGCUUGAGAGAACUCGGGUGAAGGAACUAGGCAAAAUGGUGCCGUAACUUCGGGAGAAGGCACGCUGGUGUGUAGGUGAAGUCCCUGCGGAYGGAGCUGAGACCAGUCGAAGAUACCAGCUGGCUGCAACUGUUUAUUAAAAACACAGCACUGUGCAAACACGAAAGUGGACGUAUACGGUGUGACGCCUGCCCGGUGCCGGAAGGUUAAUUGAUGGGGUUAUCCGUAAGGAGAAGCUCUUGAUCGAAGCCCCGGUAAACGGCGGCCGUAACUAUAACGGUCCUAAGGUAGCGAAAUUCCUUGUCGGGUAAGUUCCGACCUGCACGAAUGGCGUAAUGAUGGCCAGGCUGUCUCCACCCGAGACUCAGUGAAAUUGAACUCGCUGUGAAGAUGCAGUGUACCCGCGGCAAGACGGAAAGACCCCGUGAACCUUUACUAUAGCUUGACACUGAACAUUGAGCCUUGAUGUGUAGGAUAGGUGGGAGGCUUUGAAGCGUGGACGCCAGUCUGCGUGGAGCCAACCUUGAAAUACCACCCUUUAAUGUUUGAUGUUCUAACGUWGGCCCCUGACCGGGGUUGCGGACAGUGUCUGGUGGGUAGUUUGACUGGGGCGGUCUCCUCCCAAAGAGUAACGGAGGAGCACGAAGGUUAGCUAAUCCUGGUCGGACAUCAGGAGGUUAGUGCAAUGGCAUAAGCUAGCUUGACUGCGAGCGUGACGGCGCGAGCAGGUGCGAAAGCAGGUCAUAGUGAUCCGGUGGUUCUGAAUGGAAGGGCCAUCGCUCAACGGAUAAAAGGUACUCCGGGGAUAACAGGCUGAUACCGCCCAAGAGUUCAUAUCGACGGCGGUGUUUGGCACCUCGAUGUCGGCUCAUCACAUCCUGGGGCUGAAGUAGGUCCCAAGGGUAUGGCUGUUCGCCAUUUAAAGUGGUACGCGAGCUGGGUUUAGAACGUCGUGAGACAGUUCGGUCCCUAUCUGCCGUGGGCGCUGGAGAAUUGAGGGGGGCUGCUCCUAGUACGAGAGGACCGGAGUGGACGCAUCACUGGUGUUCGGGUUGUCAUGCCAAUGGCACUGCCCGGUAGCUAAAUGCGGAAGAGAUAAGUGCUGAAAGCAUCUAAGCACGAAACUUGCCCCGAGAUGAGUUCUCCCUGAGACUWUAAGUCUCCUGAAGGAACGUUGAAGACGACGACGUUGAUAGGCCGGGUGUGUAAGCGCAGCGAUGCGUUGAGCUAACCGGUACUAAUGAACCGUGAGGCUUAACCU
rnacentral:rRNA from 1 species